rnacentral:rRNA from 1 species
CACUGGAACUGAGACACGGUCCAGACUCCUACGGGAGGCAGCAGUGGGGAAUAUUGCACAAUGGGCGCAAGCCUGAUGCAGCCAUGCCGCGUGUGUGAAGAAGGCCUUCGGGUUGUAAAGCACUUUCAGCGGGGAGGAAGGCGACAAGGUUAAUAACCUUGUCGAUUGACGUUACCCGCAGAAGAAGCACCGGCUAACUCCGUGCCAGCAGCCGCGGUAAUACGGAGGGUGCAAGCGUUAAUCGGAAUUACUGGGCGUAAAGCGCACGCAGGCGGUCUGUCAAGUCGGAUGUGAAAUCCCCGGGCUCAACCUGGGAACUGCAU